rnacentral:rRNA from 1 species
AUGAACGCUGGCGGCGUGCCUAAUACAUGCAAGUCGAGCGAACAGACGAGGAGCUUGCUCCUCUGACGUUAGCGGCGGCCGGGUGAGUAACACGUGGAUAACCUACCUAUAAGACUGGGAUAACUUCGGGAAACCGGAGCUAAUACCGGAUAAUAUAUUGAACCGCAUGGUUCAAUAGUGAAAUACGGUUUUGCUGUCACUUAUAGAUGGAUCCGCGCCGCAUUAGCUAGUUGGUAAGGUAACGGCUUACCAAGGCAACGAUGCGUAGCCGACCUGAGAGGGUGAUCGGCCACACUGGAACUGAGACACGGUCCAGACUCCUACGGGAGGCAGCAGUAGGGAAUCUUCCGCAAUGGGCGAAAGCCUGACGGAGCAACGCCGCGUGAGUGAUGAAGGUCUUCGGAUCGUAAAACUCUGUUAUUAGGGAAGAACAAAUGUGUAAGUAACUAUGCACGUCUUGACGGUACCUAAUCAGAAAGCCACGGCUAACUACGUG